AGAGGCUCCAGUCCAGGAUCUGUUUGAGAAAGGUAUGGGGGUGUGUAGGUGUUUGAGGGGUGCUGGAAAAGCUCAGGAGGGCAUCAGUAAAGACGGAGAGAUUGAAAUCCAAGCAAUAGGAUGUCCACUGAAUGGAAGUUUCUGAGGAGAGGACGGAGGAGGAGUCUGAGGACUCAAGUGGGAUUGCCAAAGACACAUCCUUUCUCUCCAACAGUCAAGAAAAGCCAAGAGAACUGAACUGGAGCUGAGAGAGUGAGAUGCUGAGAAAGUUCAAACUACAAGCAACCUUCUCUCCGUAAACAGAAAUGGCAAGACACCUGCUGAAGGUUGGGAGGGCAGGUGUGGUCUUGGGAAUCAGAGUAGAAUGAAACUGUUUUUAACAGUGACUGUGUGGUUUGCAGCGUGAAGUUGCUAAGCUGCUAAAUUUGGUUUCCAUGAAUCUGUGAAGAUGCCAAUUCUGUGAAGAUGCCAGUUCAAUUUUUUUUUUUUGGAAGGGUCUUGAUAAAUCUUCCGGUCAGAUUCUGUUAAAAUUCCUGAGAGCUAUCUUGGAACACUGAAAAAAUAAAAUUUUAAAAAAUUCCUGAGGGCUUUGUAUCAACACAUACAAAUAAAUAAUUAUAAACUUAACUCUGUAUCUCCCAUAUGCCAACCUUCGUGAAAAUACACACAAACCACUGACUUAUGUGAUGAAUAGUUUCAUUACUCAUGGGAAAUUAAAUGAACUCAAUAAAACUGUC